rnacentral:rRNA from 1 species
AAUAGAUACCCGGGUAGUCCACGCCGUAAACGAUGUCGACUUGGAGGUUGUUCCCUUGAGGAGUGGCUUCCGGAGCUAACGCGUUAAGUCGACCGCCUGGGGAGUACGGCCGCAAGGUUAAAACUCAAAUGAAUUGACGGGGGCCCGCACAAGCGGUGGAGCAUGUGGUUUAAUUCGAUGCAACGCGAAGGACCUUACCUACUCUUGACAUCCAGAGAACUUAGCAGAGAUGCUUUGGUGCCUUCGGGAACUCUGAGACAGGUGCUGCAUGGCUGUCGUCAGCUCGUGUUGUGAAAUGUUGGGUUAAGUCCCGCAACGAGCGCAACCCUUAUCCUUUGUUGCCAGCGGUUCGGCCGGGAACUCAAAGGAGACUGCCAGUGAUAAACUGGAGGAAGGUGGGGAUGACGUCAAGUCAUCAUGGCCCUUACGAGUAGGGCUACACACGUGCUACAAUGGCGUAUACAAAGAGAAGCGACCUCGCGAGAGCAAGCGGACCUCAUAAAGUACGUCGUAGUCCGGAUUGGAGU